UGAAAUGGGCGUUCGAAGUGCCGCCAUUUUUACAGAGCUUAUUAUCUUCAUCUUCUCGAUUCUGGAAAUUCCUACAUAACUUCCCAUGACCACAAUCCAGUCUCUUCCAUUCGUCUCCAAAUUCUCAAGCUCCUUCUACCCUUAUGGCAACAAACCUCACAAACGGCGGAUCCCUGCCUCAACCCGCUCCUCCCUCACCAAGCAAUACCUUCUGGAUCUGAUAUCCGAUCAAGAUCGAGGCCUAAAGACCCAAAAUAACCCUUCAAAGCUCUCGCAAAUCAUCGAAGCCGUGGAUUCAAUCGCCGCUCUGGGCAGAGGUAAAGUCACAACAGGGUCUCCUCUCUCCGGGACAUGGCGAUUGCUUUGGACUACUGAGAAAGAGCAAUUGUUCAUCAUUAAGAAUGCACAUAUAUUUGGGACUAGAGCUGGGGAUGUUUUACAGGUAAUUGAUGUUGAGAAUAAGAAAUUGAACAACGUUAUAACGUUUCCUCCACAUGGAGUUUUCUUUGUGCGAUCUGGCAUCGAAAUUGCGUCUUCUCAGAGAGUGAAUUUCAGAUUUACUAGUGCUGUUCUAAAGGGAGAGAAUUGGGAGCUUCCAUUGCCACCUUUUGGACAGGGUUGGUUUGAGAAUGUUUAUUUGGAUGAUGAUAUUCGAGUUGCAAAGGACAUUCGAGGGGAUUAUCUUGUUGUUGAUCGCGCUUCUUAUGAAUGGUCGGAAUGAACUCAAACUCAUCCAUCUUUAAGAAAUUGCAGUAUUCCAUAAUACAAUCAAGCCUCUUCAAUUUGGCACAAAAAUAGGCUCACCGAUGAACUUCCGGUUGCCGGCCGACCACUUGAGGACAGUCUGAUCUUGGCUAUCCAAUUUCACCACUGUAUCAAAAGGGAAAUGCGGCAGCGUUCGACGGGAACCAGUGGAAGUUGCGGCAU